AAUACUUCGUGGGGAGGAAGCAAGGGUUGUGCUGGUCAAAGCAAGGUUGACAAAGACCUGGCUCAAGAGAUCAGUGACUGGAGCUAUCCGUCAAAGCAGAUCAGGAAGCCAGGUGAAUAGAAUCACAGGCUGGAGCAUUGAGAGAAGCAAGAAAUAGACACUCAGCAUUCCUAGGAAAGGAUACUGCACUUUGCAUGAGUCUGUGCAUUCAUGAAAUCUGUGAGGAAGAAUAAGGCAAUGAAAGCUGAAGAAAGGGCACAAGUGGGACAGACAGAAACAUACCCAAAUGAUAAAGAAGUUUUAUACAAUUUAGAUGAGGAACCUAAGGCAUCAUUAGUUGGAGGUGCUUGCCUGAGCUCAGUGCCCAGCCCCCUCUCUGCCAGGUCCCGGGAACCUGAGUCCUCCUCUGCAAGGAACUCCCAGUCCAGCAGCGUCGCUUCUCUCACAGUGGUGAUGUCAUCCUUUCAGAUGAGAGUCAGGACCCUCAAGGAAUUGUGACAAUCAAGACAGGCCCUGCCUCGGUACACAGGACCCAGCUGUUGCGCAUUAAGGAUGACACAGAGGGGCUGGGCAUGGCAGCUCACGCCUAUAAUCCUAUUGCUUUGGGAGGCCAAGGCAGGAAGAUCGCCAGCAGUCUGGGGGUUACUCAAGGUAGCUCAACUGAGUGGCACUCACCUUCUGUUCCACAAACCCUUGGGCAGCCCUGAGACUCAGAGGGUUGAGAGGUCAAA
rnacentral:lncRNA from 10 species